GCAAGUACGAGACGAGAAGACGUAGACAAUACGUUUGUAAAGCGGCGAACGGGUGAGGAAUACAUGGGUAACCUACCCUCGAGUGGGGAAUAACUAACCGAAGGUUAGCUAAUACCGCAUACGACUCCUGGUCUGCGGAUCGGGAGGGAAAGCGAUACCGUGGGUAUCGCGCUCUUGGAUGGGCUCAUGUCCUAUCAGCUUGUUGGUGAGGUAACGGCUCACCAAGGCUUCGACGGGUAGCUGGUCUGAGAGGACGAUCAGCCACACUGGCACUGCGACACGGGCCAGACUCCUACGGGAGGCAGCAGUAAGGAAUAUUGCGCAAUGGGCGACAGCCUGACGCAGCGACGCCGCGUGGGGAUGAAGGUCUUCGGAUUGUAAACCCCUUUCGGCAGGGAAGAUGGAACGGGUAACCGUUCGGACGGUACCUGCAGAAGCAGCCACGGCUAACUUCGUGCCAGCAGCCGCGGUAAUACGAAGGUGGCAAGCGUUGUUCGGAUUUACUGGGC
rnacentral:rRNA from 1 species